rnacentral:rRNA from 1 species
GAUGAACGCUGGCGGCGUGCUUAACACAUGCAAGUCGAACGAAGCACUUUAUUUGAUUUCCUUCGGGACUGAUUAUUUUGUGACUGAGUGGCGGACGGGUGAGUAACGCGUGGGUAACCUGCCUUGUACAGGGGGAUAACAGUUGGAAACGGCUGCUAAUACCGCAUAAGCGCACGGCAUCGCAUGAUGCAGUGUGAAAAACUCCGGUGGUAUAAGAUGGACCCGCGUUGGAUUAGCUAGUUGGUGAGGUAACGGCCCACCAAGGCGACGAUCCAUAGCCGACCUGAGAGGGUGACCGGCCACAUUGGGACUGAGACACGGCCCAAACUCCUACGGGAGGCAGCAGUGGGGAAUAUUGCACAAUGGGCGAAAGCCUGAUGCAGCGACGCCGCGUGAGCGAAGAAGUAUUUCGGUAUGUAAAGCUCUAUCAGCAGGGAAGAUAAUGACGGUACCUGACUAAGAAGCUCCGGCUAAAUACGUG